UUUGAUUCUUUUGAUAUGUGUUUCAGUUUUGUAGAACGUGGGAGGUUCCAUCGAGAAAGCUUUCGGACGAAGAUGGUUUUGACGAGAACAGAACGAGGUUUGGAAAGGUUACAAUGAGAUGUGGGCAUACGAUCAUCAAAGCGUGUUUGUUUCAUCGUACAAAAAAAAUAUGUUUUGAAGCUCACGAAAAAACAGAGGUUGCUCGCUCUAAUGUCAUUAUCGUGCAAGUUAUCGUCUCCGGUGGCUCUCUAAAUCGAGAUCGAUGUCGAGAUUGCAAAGCUUGCCAUGGAUGGAAGAUGAGCUUUCGGGAGUGUGUUGAAGUAUAGAAGAAAAGCUUCAAACUUGCAAGUGAUGGCUUCAGGAAAGACACCUGGACUGACUCAGGAAGCUAAUGGGGUUGCAAUUAAUAGACAAAAUGACAAUGAUGUAUUUGACGACAUGAAACAGCGGUUCCUCGCCUUCAAGAAGCAUAAGUACUUUUGCUUUUGCUUUUUCAAUGGUUUAUAAAUUACUUCAAGAAGCGGAUAACUUAGAACACUACAAAAAUUUGGCAGAUGUUCAAGCUCCGAAGUUUCUGGUGAUCGCUUGUGCAGACUCUAGGGUUUGUCCUUCUACUGUCCUGGGAUUCCAACCGGGUGAUGCAUUCACUGUUCGCAACAUUGCAAAUUUAGUACCUUCAUAUGAGUUUUGUUGUUACUUGCAGCGUGAAAGAAAGAAUCCUCAUGACCUAAAUGGUGUCUAUAUAUUUAAUGUUCAAGAAAGAAAGUGUAUUGACCGUCCAAUAGCAAGAAAUUCAAUAUCAUAGAAGGUAUGCAGAUAUAUAAAAUACGUUUAGCUCGAUAUUUGAGGCUUAUACAUUGGCAUGAUCAAAAUAGAAAUUUGGUUUCAAUAGUUUAUUUUUGUUUUUAAUUUAAAAUUUAUUGUAUAUAUCUCUCAUGAAUGUGGCCAAACAAAUAUUGGUUUCAAUAGUUAACUGUGCUUUUUCUUUCUAGCCAGAUUAAGAUAAAUGCUUCGACUCUUGGUAAGAGUUAUAUCGUGUUUGUGUUUUACAAUAUGCUUAAAAAGAAAUUCCAUAUACAAUGUUAGGCCAUAUUGAUUCAGUUUCGGUUCAUUAUGCAGGAAGUAUGCAAACACUUAAUGUUGGAUGUAGGACUACGUUUUAUGUUUUCUACACAUAUAUGGCAGAAUAUAUUGGGUUCAAGUUUUCAAACAUAGAACCGAGAAAUCAGAAAAGCAAAACUUUUAUAUUUUUAAGCCGAAUUUCAUAUUCAUCGUCCUCUACUACAUGAGCAGUGUUGGUAAUGUUUAGAUUUCAUGUUGUACUUAUGAAUUGGUGCAGGAUUUGGAUGAACUGAAUAGUGGUAGAGAGAUGGUUUACGAGAGAAUCCAAACUCACUUAACUUGAUCGAAGUCAUAUCAAGAUACUGAAUGUGGUGCUGUUAAUGCUUCUAAUGGCCCCAUUAAUACACAUGUCUAUGGUGGAGGAUGGGCAAACUUGGAUUAUAAUCAUCACUACUCAUUUGCGCCUUGCAACUUCUUGCAUAGACCAAAGCCUAUGUUUGGUCUGGAAGGUCGUCAAGAAGAAGAAGAAUGUGGUGUCAAUGCUUAUCUGGAACAUCGACGUAGGCUUCCUCUCUUCCCUAUGCACGGUGAAGAUCACCUCAACGGUGAUAGCGGUGCUAUCUGGAAGUAUGGCCAAUCGAACGAUCGUGAUUGUUUUAGUAGAGACUCUUGUGCUUCUCUUGAGCUACGUAUGAACUAGACACCGUUAUACACAUACAAAGACUUAUUUGGAGAAGACAUCUUCGCUAAGACGUGUACGAAUAUGAACUUUGGUUGGUAUUCAAGUAAGGCAUCUCUUUUUUUGGUAUGGAGUAAAGCAACUCUUUUAGUUGUGUGCAUUGUUUUACUUUUUUUUUAAGAGUUGUGCGAUAUUUUAAUAAAUAGUUUAUUGUCCAUUAUAAAACGGAGUCUGUAUAACUUUUUGUGAUAUUUAGUUUGUAAAUAAAUAUGUUUAUAUA